GCGACACCGGCCGCGCUGCUCUCUGAUUGGCCGUAGGCAUCCCGGAGGCGGGGCUAGGACUGGGUACCCGACUGUUCCCGUUACUGUCGCUAUACCUACAAAACCCAAGACCGGUCUUCAAAGUGUGAACUCUAUAAAGGGCCGCAAGGGGGCACUCGAGCGGAAAAGAUAAGAGUGAGACCAGUGGAAUAUACGUGCCGAGGAAGUGACUUUUACCGGUCCGGCCCUGUUCGCGCUGUGCUCGCAGGUUACUGCCGUGUCUGAUUUUUACCGUAGCGGCAAAUGUUUAGUUUUACCAGGGCCCGCAGUUGACUGAGGGCAAGCUGGUGUUGAGUUUUUCGUGGGAGUUGGAGCCCUCUAACCUCAGCGAGGGUACCCGCUGAUAUGAGGCAUCGCCGCUUUGCCCUGCA